CGGAAAGAAUAUAAAGUUCAGGGUACAAAAGUAUUAGGAUCUCCAUGCCGGCAAAUGUAGUGUGUUGCACUGAUUGCAAUUACUUCUUUGUUGUUAUUUGUUGUUACUGCCAUAGUUUAUUUUUUGUGCUUAUCAUAGCUCAUGAAUGCACGUGAGUGAAAUUGGGUAUAGUAUAUAUGCAUUCUUUCGGAGUUUUAAGAAGGAUAGCAGAGAAAUAUUUCUUAGGGCUAUGGCAUAGUUGUGUGGUACUUCUGCAUUUGCAGCAUUUACAGAUCAUGUAAUUACAGCUUAAUGCCAGCAUUGGAAUUGGUUAUAGAUUUCCUUUGAUUUAAAUUUCUGAAUGUUAACAAUAAGACAAUCCUAAGUUUAAUUUCCAUUGAGAGAGAGUGGGCUCUGGAUUAUGAGAUGGAAUGAAAUUAAAAGCCAACUGAUCUGGCCAUGGCUGGUUGUCACAGAAUCCUUGAUAUAUGUUCUACUUUGACAUGGAGUGUGCAGCUAUGAUAUUGUAAGUGAUGAGUUUUUUUCCCGAAUCUACUACGGGAGGUCAGUCAGGGGUAGAAAUUUUUAGUGGCAAAAGAAAUAGGUGGUAAUUAUUACACUCUCUAUUUGCAAAAAAUGAGACUGAAACAAUGCUAAUUGAGUAUGUUCUGUACUUGUAGGAAGGCUGUGAAGGAAGUGGUCUUCCCUUAUUUUUAUGAAGGUAAGGUCUUGUUAUUAGAUUCCUGCUACUCUAGAUUGCUUGACUGCUCUCUUUUAUCAGUUAAUGGCCUUAGGGUCCAUCAUUUUCUUUCAACACUUGAUGUUUAUUUACUUUUCUUGGUUGGCUUCUUUUCGACAGUCAUCUGAUUUAAAAAUUCGAGCAUGUGUCACUUUAGUAUCUUUCAUUUUCAGCAAACAUAUAGAAUUAUCUUGACAUAUGUUGGCAUUGAGAAGAUAAUAUAGAUUGUCACUACUAAGUUCAAUGUUCAGGCUCCAUCCUAUUUAAAUUCAUGUUCGGAUUGAAGUCAACACACUAAGAACUGUAUGCUUGAUGAAUGAUGUUCAGUGCAUUUACUCGAUUUUUUUCUGGUUUCCCCGGUAUAGUUAUGCAGGUUAAGUUAUGUUGGCUCUUGCAUUCACUUGUCCAGACUGGUGGUUAAUUGUGAACUAUGUAUAUUUUGUAGGUUCUGCUCACCAAGAUCAAACUAAGCACAAUUGUAUUUUCUCAAAUUGUACACAUGCUACUGCUAUGGGUGUCAUGCUCUGUGUAGUAAUUAUGUUGAAUUCCCGUAAUUGCUUUUGCAUGAUUCCACCAAACAAUUUGUAUGUUCAAAACAUACUCAAACUUCAUUUACUAAAAAAUCAAAUAUUUCAAAUAAUAUAUUAAAUAUGUCCAAAUAUUUCAGUGGCAAUCUAGGUGUCAUUGAAUUCACUAAUUCGUCCACCGAAGCUGAUAGGCACAAUUGUUAUUGGUGGGCUUAGUCUGAGGAAUGCCUUUCUAAAGUGGUUACAUGGCUACAGACUGCAAGUUCUCCCCUCACUAUCUAUAUUCAGGGUGGAACUUAAUCCAUCACAAUAGGUUGCUGGGUGGGCAAGCCAGAAGGGAAUGGGGGAGAGCAAAAUGAGGCCCCAUAUACUUUAAUGUUUGGGAGAAACAAAGCCUAUCAAGUGCAUGGUGGUUAUCAGAGAGGUGAAGGCGGGAAGGGAAGAGAUGAACAGUGUUGUGAAGCUAUGCUAGGGACACUGUACAUUUUUACUACAUAUUUGUAACUUGGGAAUAAGUUCAAAAUCAUGUUGAUGGUUUAUUUUAUUGCUAUUAAGCAUAUUGUUUACAAAGAUAUACUGAUAUCAUACUUGAGCCAUACUUAUUGGGGCUAGAGAAGUGUGAUUUUUGUUUUCCC
rnacentral:lncRNA from 1 species